UAUAUGAAUGCAUUUGAAAAUUAUUAGUGUUUGAACCUUACUUUAUGAGAUUUUUUUUACUAUCUGGGUUUCUUUUAUACUCUCUUGCCUCCCAACUCUGUGGAUAAUCUGUGCUCUGUGUUAAUUUUACUAUAAUUUUUUUAAAACUUUUUAUCAAUUGUAAUUUGCUCUAAAUAUUUUAGAUUGAUCGUAAUAGUGCUGGAUAUCUUAAAAUACCUGAUGAUGAUGAAGAAGAAGAUGAAUUUGGCUAUACUAACAGGAAAGUUGAAAGAAAGUAUGGUGAUUUUAAAGGUAGUGCGAUGUUAGUUGAAAUUGAAAAGGGUGCUAAUGGAUUAGGUGUUAGUUUAGCAGGUAAUAAAAAUCGCUCUAAGAUGAGUACUUUUGUUUGUGGACUGUUCCCAAAUGGGAAUGCUGCAAGAACAGGUACAAUUUUAGUUGGAGAUGAAUUGUUGGAGGUGAAUGGAAUUGUGUUAUACAACCGGUGUCAUUUAAAUGUUUCGGCUACAAUUAGAGGGAUAAUGACAAAAACAUGCAAGUUUGUUAUUCUGAGGUAAGUUUAUUCUAAAACUUUAUUAAUUUUAAUGCUUAUUUAUUUCAUUUAAAACCUGCAAAAUUGUUUACACCCUUUGAUCUAACAUAUUAAAUAUUUAUU